rnacentral:lncRNA from 1 species
UCCCAUUCCGAGGCUCGAUAAAGGCUUCUACCGACAUUAAAACCAAGAUAUUUAACGGGAAAAUCGCCCCUUCUACACUUGAGCAAAGCUGCCAUUUCUUCGCCCAGCUGUGGAUCCCAACCAAUGCCGAAGAUGCUGCAUUUAUCAAAAUUAACCGAGAGCCCCGAAAGCAUCUCAAACAAGUGGAGGAUACACUUGAA